AGGAAGACCCCCACUAAACCGAGCAGCCGAGGAUGGUUCGCUCUGGAAAGACGUUGACAGGAUAUUUGAGAUGCUGGAGAGACUCAUUGUUGCCCAGUAAGGUCGAGAUGAGAGAAGGGAGCUACCCGACUCUCCCUCACUGCCACAGGUUGAGCCACCACUCUAAUGAGAGAAUCCCGAGCCACCCCGGUACGAGCCUGCUCUUCCACAGUACCACCCGGUACCAUCACCGUAGUAUAAUCCGGUGCCCCAGCUAUAGUACUGCCUGGCACUGCCAUAGUAUAAUCCAGUGCCCCCACCAUAUCAGCAAGUACCACCAUAAGGCCCCCCAGUCUAUCCUAAACCUGGCCCAGUCCCUCUUCCGCAGGACCCAGCUCCUUUCAUGAUUGACCCAGGUUACGUAGAAAGGUACAGGAGACUGAACCCAUCUACUUUUGCAGGAAAAUCCUCUUUUAAAGAUGCCCAGUAUUGGUUGGCGGAGACGGAGAAGGCCUUCAAGACCCUAGGAAUGAAUCCCGAGCAGAGGGUCACCCUUGCUACCUACAUACUGGUGGGAGAAGCAGAACGCUGGUGGGAACUCAAGCAGACCACCCUGCCUGUUCCAGUU
rnacentral:lncRNA from 1 species